rnacentral:rRNA from 1 species
GAUGAACGCUGGCGGUGUGCCUAAUACAUGCAAGUCGAACGAAGUCUUCGGACUUAGUGGCGAACGGGUGAGUAACACGUUGGUACCUACCCUCUAGUGGGGAAUAACUGCCCGAAAGGGUGGCUAAUACCGCAUAAUACCGCAAGGUUAAAGCAGUAAUGCGCUAGAGGAGGGGCCUGCGUCUGAUUAGCUAGUUGGUGAGGUAAUAGCUCACCAAGGCUACGAUCAGUAGCUGGAUCGAGAGGUUGACCAGCCACACUGGGACUGAGAUACGGCCCAGACUCCUACGGGAGGCAGCAGUAAGGAAUCUUCCACAAUGGACGAAAGUCUGAUGGAGCAACACCGCGUGCAGGAUGACGGUCUUCGGAUUGUAAACUGCUUUUAUAUAGGAAGAUUAUGACGGUACUAUAUGAAAUAAGGACCGGCUAACUACGUGCCAGCCGCCGCCGUAAU